GCUGGCGUAGCUUAGUAAGGUAGAGCAGCUGACUUGUAAUCAGCAGGUCGUAGGUUCAAAUCCUAUCGCCAGCU
rnacentral:tRNA from 1 species